GCAACUCGCCUGCACGAAGUCGGAAUUGCUAGUAAUCGCGAAUCAGAAUGUCGCGGUGAAUACGUUCCCGGGUCUUGCACACACCGCCCGUCACACCAUGGGAGUCGGAUAUGCCCGAAGCCGGUGACCUAACCGCAAGGAAGGAGCCGUCGAAGGUGGAGCCGAUGACUGGGGUGAAGUCGUAACAAGGUACC
rnacentral:rRNA from 1 species